AUCAUUGACGGAUAUUUUUUAAGAGUUGACGGAAACAUUUAAGGCCGUCCGUCAUUUUGACGGGUUGAAAAUUGGGCCAUUAACUACAGCAGUGGUACGUCCUUAAGAACCAAGCGCGGCACUUUAAGAGAGAGAAGCAGAGAGACAAAGAAGAACAAUGACUGGUGGAUAAGAGACAGAGACAGGAAUGAGUUCUUUGAAUUAUCAUUGCAAGUGUUUAGUACAGUACGUGUUGUGAUGAGGCGACUUCUGUUUUUUUGCGAACCACGGUCUCUCGUGGCCAAAUCUAUUCACGGCCUCGAAACGCCUCAGCGCACUGUGACGUUUGUGGAGCAACAUCACAGUGAGUUGUGACAAGAUACUGAUUUAAUCACGGUGUUUCUUGCACAUCAUGGCCCACGGACAAGCUCUGACACUGACAGGGCAUUGCGCAAUCAUCCAGACAUCUACGGACAAGUUUCAACACUUUUCUUGAUGAAAAUUUCACGGCCUGCAAUUUUUAGUUCAAUUUAUCCAAUAGUAUUUUUGGCAGAAAAAAACGCAGGAUUUCUUCAGAGGCCAGACAAAGAGACAUCUUGAUGCGCAUUCGCUUAAUUACGCGGAGAAAUACCGCAGCCCACUAGGCUUUAAAUCGAAUAAUGUAAAUCAAAUAAAUGAGAAACGAUAAAAGAAAUUGUUAUUUCUAUAGUUUUGUUGAAACGAAAUUUAACAUAAAGUUUCAAUUUUCGUUGUCUGUAAUUUGGUCUGAAAAUGGAAAAUCGAAUGAAAUGAUCGAAGAGCAAGAACACAGAAAUCCAAUAAAUCUGCAAAAAUAAACUAGAUAAAUAAAUAACAACAUUCUUUAUUUUAAUGAUUUGCAUCGGAACAGAUAAAAAACAACCUGCUUUAAGAAGCAUUGAAACAAAAUAAAUAGGAACAUUUUCAGGAACACGCUUUUGGAA